CGCCGCCCGUCCCUCCGCAGCCGACGGCAGCCUGCAGCGGCCGCGGGGACUGGACUCCUGCGCUCUGGUCGCCAGGCGCGUCGCGGGGCGCUGGAGGGGGAACAGGGCUGCGCUGGUGUCCCCACCAGCCCACAUACGGACUUGCUGCUGCUUCCCACACCAGCUGCGUCCUCUUUUCUGAGGCGCCUGGAGAACUAUUGGCAGUCAUGGGUACCUCAUUUUCCUGAGAGGACUUGGAGUCCUGUGAAGGAUUUGGAAUUUGACGCCUCAGAUGUGCCCAAGCACAGCUUUGCGGGUUUACUCCAGGUGGCUGCUGAGCUCCACUCUGGCCCUGUGGAAGGUAUUUGGCACCCAGCGGGACACCAGACUCAAUACCCUGCAGCUGCUCACAGACAUCCUGGAAAAGACCCGCUCCCGAGAGGACGCAGUGGAGAUGGACGCCCAGCCCAUGGUGGUGAGCGCUCCCUGGCCGGAUGGGAGUCAUCCAGACCUUGCCCCAGAGUCCCUCCUCGGCCGCCAGCGGCAGUUCCAGCAAGCCAUCUCUGAUUUCCCGGCACGUGCUGUUCUCACCGUGGAGCCAGGCUUUGAUGCUGCUGUGGAAUGCAGAGGAAGAAGACGCUGGGCUCCCAGACCCUGA
rnacentral:lncRNA from 1 species